rnacentral:sRNA from 12 species
UCCUUGCAGGUCGAACCGUCACCGUAGGGUGUGCUUGUCUGGCAACCGCCAGACUAGACCGCAAGGGCGCC